rnacentral:rRNA from 1 species
ACAGGGCGGUACCUUGACGGUACCUGACGAGGAAGCCACGGCUAACUACGUGCCAGCAGCCGCGGUAAUACGUAGGUGGCAAGCGUUGUCCGGAAUUAUUGGGCGUAAAGCGCGCGCAGGCGGUUCCUUAAGUCUGAUGUGAAAUCUCGCGGCUCAACCGCGAGCGGCCAUUGGAAACUGGGGAACUUGAGUGCAGGAGAGGGGAGCGGAAUUCCACGUGUAGCGGUGAAAUGCGUAGAGAUGUGGAGGAACACCAGUGGCGAAGGCGGCUCUCUGGCCUGUAACUGACGCUGAGGCGCGAAAGCGUGGGGAGCGAACAGGAUUAGAUACCCUGGUAGUCCACGCCGUAAACGAUGAGUGCUAAGUGUUAGAGGGUAUCCACCCUUUANUGCUGCAGCAAACGCAUUNAGCANNCCGCCUGGGAGACGGCGC